AACGAACGCUGGCGGCGUGCUUAACACAUGCAAGUCGAACGGACUACUUUGCUUCGGUAAGGUGGUUAGUGGCGAACGGGUGAGUAACGCGUAGACAACCUACCUCUUAGAUGGGGACAACAUCGCGAAAGCGGUGCUAAUACCGAAUGAAGUGACUUUCCUGCAUGGGAGAGAUACUAAAGGUGGCCUCUAUUUAUAAGCUACCACUGAGAGAUGGGUCUGCGUCUGAUUAGCUAGUUGGCGGGGUAACGGCACACCAAGGCGACGAUCAGUAGGGGGUAUGAGAGGAUGAACGGCCACAUUGGGAAUGAGACACGGCCCAAACUCCUACGGGAGGCAGCAGUGGGGAAUCUGCCGCAAUGGACGAAAGUCUGACGGAGCAACGCCACGUGAGUGAAGAAGGUUUUCGGAUCGUAAAGCUCUGUUGUUUGAGACGAAUGUGCCUGUUUCGAAUAGGGAUAGGUAAUGACGGUAUUAAACGAGAAAGCCACGGCUAACUACGUGCCAGCCGCCGCCGUAA
rnacentral:rRNA from 1 species